AGCAGGGUGGCUCAGUGGAAAUAGCACGGGCUUUGGAGUCAGAGGUCAUGGGUUCAAAUCCCAGCUCUGCCA
rnacentral:tRNA from 1 species